rnacentral:lncRNA from 1 species
UGGGGUUUUUGGGGACACUGGGGACAUUUGGGGACAUUUGGGGUCAUUUAUUUGGGGCCAUUUGGGACCAUUUGGGUGGGUUUGGGGGACAUUUAGGGUGGUUUUGGGGCCAUUUUGGGUGUUUGGGGGGCCAUUUUGGGUGCUUUUGGGGCCAUUUUGGGUGCUUUUGGGGGAUAUUUUGGGAUUUUGGGUUUUUGGGACCAUUUUGGGGCCAUUUUGGGGCCAUUUGGGACCAUUUGGGUGGGUUUGGGGGACAUUUAGGGUGGUUUUGGGGCCAUUUUGGGUGUUUGGGGGGCCAUUUUGGGUGCUUUUGGGGCCAUUUUGGGUGCUUUUGGGGGAUAUUUUGGGAUUUNNNNNNNNNNGACACUGGGGACAUUUGGGGCCAUUUGGGGCCAUUUUGGUGGUUUUGGGGGGACAUUUGGUGGGUUUGGGGGCCAUUUUGGGUGCUUUUGGGGUUAUAUUUUGGGAUUUGGGGUUUUUGGGACCAUUUUGGGGUCAUUUUGGGGCCAUUUGGGACCAUUUGGGUGGGUUUGGGGGACAUUUAGGGUGGUUUGGGGGCCAUUUUGGGUGGUUUUGGGGCCAUUUUGGGUGGUUUUAGGGCCAUUUUGGGUGCUUUUGGGCUUAUAUUUUGGGAUUUUGGGUUUUUGGGACCAUUUUGGGGCAAUUUUGGGGCAAUUUGGGACCAUCCUUGCCCUCCUUCCCCCGCAGGUCCCCCCAGAAGAAGACGCGGCCACCCCGCGGCCCCCGGUGACGUCCCCGCGUCCCCCCCGGGCCACCAAACGUCCCCAAAUUUCCCCAAAUCCCCCCUUGGGGGCCCCAAAACCACCCAAAAAGCCCCGGCUGGCCCCGGGGGGCCGCUGUCCCCAAACGUCCCCAAAUUCGUGUCCCCAAAUGUCCCAAACGACCCCAAAUUCGUGUCCCCAAACGUCCCCAAAUUCGUGUCCCCAAAUGUCCCCAAAUUCGUGUCCCCAAACGUCCCAAAAGUCCCGAACCUCAAUGUCCCCAAAUUCGUGUCCCCAAAUGUCCCAAACGACCCCAAAUUCGUGUCCCCAAACGUCCCCAAAUUCGUGUCCCCAAAUGUCCCCAAAUUCGUGUCCCCAAAUGUCCCAAACGACCCCAAAUUCAUGUCCCCAAACCUCGAGGACCUCCGAUUUGUCCCCGUGUCCCCAAAUGUCCCCAAAUUUGUGUCCCCAAACCUCCUCGAGGUCCUCAAACCCCUCCCCAUGUCCCCAAAUGUCCCAAAUGUCCCCAAAUUUGUGUCCCCAAACCUCCUGGAGGUCCUCCAAGCCAUGUUCUCAACGGUUGAGGGCCUCCAACCCAACCUCGUGUCCCCAAAUGUCCCAAACGACCCCAAAUUUGUGUCCUUUGACCUCCUCGACCUCCUCCAACUCUUCUCCUCCAACCUCCUCGAGGUCCUCCAGGCCAUGUUCUCAACGGUUGAGGGCCUCCACCCUGGCCCCGUGUCCCCAAAUGUCCCCAAAUUCGUGUCCCCAAACCUCCUUGAGGUCCUCCAACCCAUCCCAACCUCUUCAUACCUCUUCAAGGUCCUCCAGCUCUUGGCCUCCAACCUCGUUGGGGGCCUCCACCCCAUCCCCAUGUCCUCAACCCUCCUUGACCUCCUCCAGCUCUUGUCCUCCAACCUCUUCGAGGUCCUCCACCCCAUCCCAACCUCCUCCAACGUCCUUGACCUUCUCCAACCCACGUCCUCCAACCUCCUCGAGGUCCUCCAAGCCAUGUUCUCAAACGUUGAUGUCCUCCAACCCAUCUCUACCUCCUCCAACCUCCUCAACCUCCUCCAACUCUUGUCCUUCACCCUCCUUGAGGUCCUCCACCCCACAUCCUCCAACCUUCUCGAGGUCUUCCAAGCCAUGUUCUCAACGCUUGAGGUCCUCCAACCCAUCCCGACCUCCUCCAACCUCCUUGACCUCCACCCCAUGUCCUCAACCCUCCUUGAGGUCCUCCAACUCUUCUCCUCCAACCUCUUUGAGGUCCUCCAACUCAUCCUCAUGUCCUCCAACCUCCUCGAUCUCCUCCACCUCUUCUCCUCCAACCUCCUUGAGGUCCUCCAACCCAUCCCCACCUCCUCCAACCUCCUCCAACUCUUCUCCUCCAACCUCUUCGAGGUCCUCCAAGCCAUGUUCUAAAAGGUUGAGGUCCUCCACCCCAUCCCAACCUUCUCCAACCUCCUCCACCCCACAUCCUCCACCCCCGUUGAGGUCCUCCAACCCAUCCCAACCUCCUCAACCCUCCUCAACCUCUAACCUCUUCCACCUCUUCUCCUCCAACCUCUUCGAGGUCCUCCACCCCAUCUCUACCUCCUCCAACCUCCUCCAACCCAUGUCUUAGAACCUCCUCGAGGUCCUCCAAGCCAUGUUCUCAAAGGUUGAGGUCCUCCAACCCAUCCCAACCUCCUCCAACCUCCUCAACCUCCUCCACCCC